GACGAACGCUGGCGGCGUGCUUAACACAUGCAAGUCGAGCGGUAAGGCCCUUUCGGGGGUACACGAGCGGCGAACGGGUGAGUAACACGUGGGUGACCUGCCUUUAGCUCUGGGAUAAGCCUGGGAAACUGGGUCUAAUACCGGAUACGACUCCGCGGUGCAUGCUGUGGGGUGGAAAGCCUUGUGCGGCUGGAGAUGGGCCCGCGGCCUAUCAGCUUGUUGGUGGGGUGAUGGCCACCAAGGCGACGACGGUAGCCGGCCUGAGAGGGCGACCGGCCACACUGGGGACUGAGACACGGCCCAGACUCCUACGGGAGGCAGCAGUGGGGAAUCUUGCGCAAUGGGCGAAAGCCUGACGCAGCGACGCCGCGUGA
rnacentral:rRNA from 1 species